rnacentral:rRNA from 1 species
GAUGAACGCUGGCGGCGUGCUUAACACAUGCAAGUCGAACGGUGAAGGCGGAGCUUGCGCUGUUGGAUCAGGGACGAACGGGUAAGUAACACGUGAGCAAUCUGCCCCUGAGGGUGGGAUAAGCGCUGGAAAGGGCGAUUAAGGCUGGAUACGAGCGGCGAAGGCAUCUGGAGCAGAUGGAAAGAACGUCGGGUAGGGAUGAGCGCGCGGGCUAUCAGCUUGUUGGGGAGGUUACGGCUUACCAAGGCCUUGACAGGUAGCCGGCCCGGGAGGGUGACCCGGCCACAUUGGGCCUGGAAACCGCCCAGACCUCCUCCGGGAGCAAGCAGUGGGGAUUAUUCCCAAAUGGCCGAAGCCCUAAUGCAGCACCGCCGCGUCAGGGAGAACGGCCUUGGGUUUGAAACCGUCUUCAGGCGGGGAAGAAGUUGUAGUGACGGUACCUGCAGAAGAAGCACCGGCUAACUACGUG